rnacentral:rRNA from 1 species
GUGUCAGCAGCCGCGGUAAUACGGAGGGUGCAAGCGUUGUCCGGAUUUAUUGGGUUUAAAGGGUGCGUAGGCGGCCCGUUAAGUCAGCGGUGAAAUCCCACGGCUCAACCGUGGAACUGCCGUUGAUACUGGCGGGCUUGAGUUCGGUCGAGGCGGGCGGAACUGGUGGUGUAGCGGUGAAAUGCAUAGAUACCACCAAGAACCCCGAUUGCGUAGGCAGCUCGCUGGGCCGAAACUGACGCUGAGGCACGAAAGCGUGGGGAGCGAACAGGAUUAGAUACCCUGGUAGUCCACGCCGUAAACGAUGAUGACUCGAUGUCGGCGAUAUACUGUCGGCGUCCAAGCGAAAGCGUUAAGUCAUCCACCUGGGGAGUACGCCCGCAAGGGUGAA